AGGCAGGGGAGAAAAAUGGCACUAGCCAGCUCCUUUCUUCUUCGAGAAGUGUCAUAAUAUCCCUGACCCUCCUGUACAAGUUCUGAAAUUAAGGGUGGCCUUGGAAGGCUGGAAACCUGAGUUGAGUAUGCAUGAUCUCAUUUAUUCUGAUGGCAAUCCUAUAAUGGAGCCUCCCUAGCUUCUCGGCCUUUCAUCUGCUGAACACCGUCAGCCGUGGAAUAGCAUCACUGUGUCUCUCAUUGCCAGGUGGUGGAUGUCAACCUAUUGAAAUCUCCUUUGAAUGUUUGCAGGAAGUUGGUUUUUAACCAGGGGAGGUCUCAAGCAAGCCUAACAGGACCAGAAAACUAGAAGCAGGAAAUCUUGUGGAAUCCCCCAGCAAACCGGCUGUCACCUACUCCUCUUCCCCCUGCCCUCCUCACUGAGAGCUGAGAACUCCACUUGGAAAUCUUUUAGGACAUUCCCAAGUGAGAUGCCACUAUUUCUCAACAUUCUGAUAUGCACAUAGGACUUACUGAAAAUGUCGGGGUGGGGUGCCUUGUGAUGAUAAAAGUCACAUGAAAUUAUAAAAUUUAAAAAUAAAAACA